CAAUUUAUAGCCUCACGCAUAUAAUUCCUUUUCUGACUUAAGCAUCGGAGGGGCGACGAGAACAUACCUCGUUGCCUUUGUUUCAAGUACCGGAAGACUACGAUCGUGCUCAUUCAAAAUCCUCAAGAUCGAGAAAUCAACAUCUACGAUUUUUGGUAGCAUCAAUUACUAAUCAAGAUACGUAAACUAAUCCUUGUUAUAGCAUGAAAAAUAUCACUUUAUUCACAGUGUUUUGAUAAUAAAUAAGUAAAAAUCUGGCACCAAACACUUGGAGGUCUAAAGGUGAACCAAACUGCUUAGACUCAAGACAUCUUGGUCCGUAAAAGGCUCAUCCCAUCUCGCACAACCAAGUUUACACUUCUAAAAAAUCGCAUUCAUUUACAAAUCGGUAAUAUUUUAUAUGCAGAUGGUUGUGUUUUGGACCUGGGAUCUUGGAGUUCCAUAAUAAUUAGGCUGUUCGCCAGAGCCCGAGCCACGGGAGGAUAAAAGAAUUUCAUGAAGUUCAUUGUACGAUAUGAACAAUAUAAAUGGACUUAGUCACUUAGAAAGUCGUGUUAAAGCCCCGUCCACGUCGAUGUUAAAUAAGAAUGAGUUGAUAUGAAGAUGAGAAAGAUAGACUAAUGGGGCCAAGAGCUGUGGAUCUUAUCAACAAAAACAUAUUAAUGGGGCACUGAAUCUUAUAAUCAUAGUCUGACCUAAUGUUCCCCUAACUACUUUCAUUUCCAUGUCAAAUAUUUUCUAAAAGGCAUAUUUUUCCAAAAGAUAGGGUAAGUUGCAUUUACCGGUUUUAUUCAAUACUUAAAAUGAGCACUUGAGUUCUGAUUUAAAUUUCGUUUCUACACACUGAAUUACACUUCCACAUUCGACAAUGUACAGUUUUGUGAAGUGCAGGACACAAGAACAGUUAAUCAUAAUUUUGCAGAGAACUCAACUUAGUGAUCGAGGGAUACGAGAAAAGUGAUUGUUGAGGAUCUAAAUAUUGAGAAAAAUGAAAAGAGACCAAAUAUUCAAUUAAGUAUAAAGUUAAAACUCUAAGGGUCUGUUUGAUUGCGAAGAUGGAAUUUGGGUGGAAAGAAAAUGAAUUUUUAGAGAAAUGAAUUACCUAGAAAUUGUUUUCCUGAGAAUUGUAAAUUAUUGUGUUUGAUUGGUAUAAUUUUCCACGUGAAAAAUGUUGAAGUAAAAGUAUUUUUUGGUAUUCGUUUGACUUUAUUUUACAUGAAAAUUGUCAAUUUAAG
rnacentral:lncRNA from 1 species